CGUCAGGGGCUAUGGACUGCGGACUUACGAACCCCGCCAGGGCAGGAAUGCAGCAACGGUAGUUUGAUUCUCUUUGCCGUAGUCCUCUGGCGGAC
rnacentral:SRP_RNA from 1 species